AUUAGAAUGACAUUCACUCAUCUGGCAGCUCUGUGUGCGUAGGUGGAUAAGUAGUCUACCGUUACGAAAGUUUGGCUCAAAAAUUUAUAUAAAGUGAAGUUUAUGUUUUUGUGCGUCAAUAUUUACAAAACUGUUUAUCAAACAAAGCGGAAUCAAUAUAAUAACCAUUUCGUAUUUCAAACCGAAUUUCACAUCAAAAUUUCAACUCUCUGCCAUAAUGGAGAACUCAGCACUCUUUUCUGCUUCUGAUGAGCAUAAUUUUGACUAUGAAUUCGCUGGCGAUAUCUUUGAUUUUGAGAAUUUAUGGCAUGAAUAUGGCGCUGAAGCGCAACAGAAAGAGCAAUUCAUGGACUUAGAGCAAAGAUUUUUUAAGCAGCUGAGAAUAUCCGAAACAUCUGACGAAUGAUAUGAAAAUACGUACGUUUAUGAAUUUGUAAAAUAUGCAACAAUACCGCUAGCUUUAAGUUUUGAAUAAAAUAUGGUAAGUUUAUAUUAGGUUUAAUAAAAUUUUUCGCAACUUGCAAGGCCCUUGUGAGGCAUUUUUUGUCUAAAUUUGUUAUGUGCAAAAUGUUAUUUAAAAUGUAAACAUAAUUUUUUUUUUAUAAUGUUGAUUUGUACUAAUGACAAAGUCGCACUUGAGGCAUCAAAAAUUGUAAUACAGAUGUGGAACUCAGGUUUCUAAAGUAUUUGGUUUUUAAAUUCGUAAGUAAGAGAAAAAAAUAUUGUAAUUUUUUAAAUUAACAUUUCUUGAUUAUGGGAACUCUACCGCGAUUGUUAUUUAAAAUUAGUAUUACAUUUUUAUUUUUUAUUCUAUUUUAUUUUUUUUGUGUGUUAUAAAUACUAUUUAAGAUGAUGAAACUCUUGAGUCAUCAGUUUUUGUUAA